rnacentral:tRNA from 1 species
GGAAGAGAAUCGCUCCCGGUGGGGCGGCCGGACUUCAAAUCCGUUAGGGGUCGCUUGCGAUCCUCCGUGGGUUCGACUCCCACUCUCUUCCGCCA